rnacentral:lncRNA from 1 species
UAGACCAGAAGGCAGCAUCUUCACUCCCAUCCAUUCCUGAAGCACAGCAGUGGUAAAGACGAAGGGCUACA